AGAAAGCACGAGCACAGGCAGACAGAGUGGUAGGCAGAGGCAGAGGAAGAAGCAGGCUCCCCGCCAAGCAAGGAGCCCAAUGUGGGAAACGAUUCCAGGAUGCUGGAAUCAUCAUCUGAGCUGAAGGCAGCCGCUUUACCAACUGAGCCACCCAGGUGUCCCCACAACAUUUAUCUUUGAUUGUUUAUUUAAUCAUUUAUCUUCUAAGAGAUUAGGCUGAUCUCUUUUCGCUGGUUUCCUUUUUGUCAGAAGCAAACUCAGUGUUGCAUAAUAUAAAAUUACCUUUCCAAAAGGCAAGGUAGUCAGAGAAAGCCAGCAAGGAUAUGAUACCGGACAUUAAACAUAGCCUCAGCCAGACUUGGAUUUCAGGUGGAGCCACUUGUCUGCUGAGAGAAAUGUCAUCGUCACCAAUAAGGAUUUUUAGAUUCCAGCUUCAGAGGCCUGGACCCUGAGUGACAGUUCCAAAUGGCCAAUUAAACUCUGAGAUCAGAAAGAGCUUCAUUUUGAAUUUUAUAGUCAUGGCACGAACCUAAGAGCAAGAUGGACCGAUCGUACAUUUGCAGACUUGGAUGCUUUCACAAUGAUGACAAGGUAUCAUUUGCUGCAAACCUUGGACUAUAAAGCUGUUCAGAGAGAGGGAAUUUGCAUGAUCAGUUGCUCACCUCAGGGUGAUAGUAGUUGGAGAACGCGUGCUAAGAGUGCAGGUUGGGAGAAGAAAGGAAGUGGAAUCCGAAUGGAGCUUCUAGCAGUGAACUCCCACUGCAUUUCAGGCAAGACAUUUUUCCUCACACUUCUGAUCACUGGAGAGCUCACACUGGCCUCUGUUCCCGGCUCAUGGAAACCUGUAUUUUCUCCUGUUUCUUCGCUCCUGAGACCUAAACUCUUCUCUGGGCUAACCUCUCGGCCUCCGGUCACCUGAACCUGAGCUCAACUAAUGCUCUAGAAAUAUAAGGGAAGAGGAGCUGUUAUGCUCUAUCCUGUGCUCUGAUGCUUCACCCCCAGGACUAGAAGAAAUAAAGUAAAUUUUUGUAGAAAUGUGGAAAUAAGCAUUCACCAGUUAUACUGAAACUAGGGGAUUUGAAUCACAUGUAGCGCGGCUUCUCCAGAGAAAUGUAGGGAAGGUGGGCAUUGAAAGAGUCUGAGAAGGGGUGUGUGG
rnacentral:lncRNA from 1 species